UGACGUUCCUUUUUAGCUAGUGGCGAACGGGUGAGUAAUAUUUAGGUAACCUACCCUUUAGGCUGGGAUAACUUUCCGAAAGGGAAGCUAAUACCAGAUACUCUCUUCUUUUUGCAUAAAAGGAAGAGGAAAGAUUUAUCGCUAAAGGAGGGGCCUAACUCUGAUUAUGCUUGUUGGUGGGGUAAUGGCCUACCAAGGCUUCUAUCAGUAGCUGGUCUGAGAGGAUGUACAGCCACAUUGGGACUGACACACGGCCCACACUCCUACGGGAGGCAGCAGUGGGGAAUAUUGCGCAGUGGGCGAAAGCCUGACGCAGCGACGCCGCGUGAGUGAAGAAGUCUUUAGAGAUGUAAAUCUCAGUCAAGAGGGAAGAUUAUGACGGUACCUCUAGAGGAAGCCCCGGCUAACUACGUGCCAGCAGCCGCGGUAAUACGUAGGGGGCAAGCGUUAUCCGGAUUUAUUGGGCAUAAAGAGCAUGUAUGUGGUAUCUUAAGUCA
rnacentral:rRNA from 1 species